rnacentral:rRNA from 1 species
ACGAGUCGCAAGCUCGCGAGAGUAAGCUAAUCUCUUAAAGCCGUUCUCAGUUCGGACUGUAGGCUGCAACUCGCCUACACGAAGUCGGAAUCGCUAGUAAUCGCGGAUCAGAAUGUCGCGGUGAAUACGUUCCCGGGUCUUGUACACACCGCCCGUCACACCAUGGGAGUUGGUAACGCCCGAAGUCAGUGACCCAACCUUAGGGAGGGAGCUGCCGAAGGCGGGACUGAUAACUGGGGUGAAGUCGUAACAAGGUAUC